rnacentral:rRNA from 1 species
GAUGAACGCUGGCGGCGUGCUUAACACAUGCAAGUCGAACGGAAGGACGCCUGCUUGCAUGGGUACUCGAUUGGCGAACGGGGGAGUAACACAUGUGGGAUCUCCACCUCACUUCCUGAUAAGCCUGCGAGACUGCGGCUAUUACCGGGUAGAACAGUUUUAUGGAUGCCGUUGUGGAAAGUUAGAUCGUUUUGGUCUCAGCUCGCGGCGUAUCCGCGUGUUGUUGGGGUAAUGGCCUACCAAGGCGUGGACGGGUAGCCGGCCUCUGAGGGUGUAAGGCGACCUUGGGUCUGAGGGACGGCCCCGGCACCUACGGGACGGAGAAGUGGGGAAUCUUGACCAAUGGGCGCCAGCCUGAUGCUGAGAGGCUGCGUGGCGGAUGACGGUCUUAGUGUUGUAAACCAUUUUCGCAAGUGACGAAGCGCAAUGUGACGGUACCUAGAGAAGAAGCCACGGCUAACUACGUG